rnacentral:rRNA from 1 species
UCAGACGAUGCGUCAUGCAUAUCAAUAAGCGGAGGAAAAGAAACUAACAAGGAUUCCCUUAGUAACGGCGAGUGAAGCGGGAAGAGCUCAAAUUUGAAAUCUUCAAGGUUUGACCUUGACGAAUUGUAGUUUAAGGAAGUGUUUUCUGUUGAAGUUUUGGUAAAAGUUCUUUGGAAUAGGACAUCAUAGAGGGUGAGAAUCCCGUAUUUGACCAUUAUCUUCCAGCUGUGUGAUACACUUUCAAAGAGUCGGAUUGUUUGGGAAUGCAGUCCAAAAUGGGUGGUAAAUUUCAUCUAAAGCUAAAUAUUGGCGAGAGACCGAUAGCGAACAAGUACCGUGAGGGAAAGAUGAAAAGAACUUUGAAAAGAGAGUUAAACAGUACGUGAAAUUGUCAAAAGGGAAGCGUUUGACACCAGUGUUGUUUUCUCGAAAAUCAAUUAAAAAAGGCCGGAUUUUGUGUUGUAUUGACUUUAUCAGCUUUCUGCACUUUUUUCUUGUCUUUUUUAAUGCACUUUUCGUUUAACAAGUCAACAUCAAUUUCUUUUGUUGUAAAAGGGUCAUUGGAAGGUGGCUUUCUUUUCGGAGAAAGUGUUUAUAGCCUUUGGCCUCUGCAAUCGGAGAGAUUGAGGUCUGCAGCGUAGAUCCUUCGGGGUUAGAUACAUUUGUGCUAAGUUAUAGCCUUUCAUAGACAACUUGUUGACUAUGAUCAGUCAUGUAGCUUACUCGCUUAUGCUAUUUUACCUACGCUUAGGAUGUUGAUAUGCAUGACUGAUAU